GAGGGUGUAGCUCAGGGGUAGAGCACGUGCUUAGCAUGCAUGAGGUCCUGGGUACCAUCCCCAGUACCUCCA
rfam:Camelus ferus unplaced genomic scaffold scaffold638, whole genome shotgun sequence.